rnacentral:RNase_P_RNA from 1 species
ACAACAGUUCGUUCUGUCGCUGGUAAAGACACCACUUGUGAUGUCUUCCGGAGGAAAGUCAGGACAACACAGGGCGCCAUGCUUCCUAACGGGAAGGAUCCCGGGAUAAAAAGGCCCGGGAUACAGAUAGUGCCACAGAAAAUAACUACCAGGGGUUGAGAUGCACAUCAGUGCGUCUCAGCAACCUGUGGUAAAGACGCACUGCGGUGCGUCUCCACAGGAGUCCCCCGGGAAAAGGUGAAAACGCGGUGUAAGAGACCACGGUCCCGGUGGGCAACCAUCGGGAGGGGUAAACCUCAUGGGUUGAAAGACCAAGUAUACCGGCUGAUAAGGGUUGCCCGCCCGAUGCCGGAGGGUAGGUCGCUAAAGCCUUCCGGUGACGGCAGGCUCAGAUAAAUGACAGAAUUAAACAAAAUCCUGCUUACAGAACUGUUGUCUUU